rnacentral:rRNA from 1 species
CNNNANNNGNGGNGAGNAAAGAGGGGAACUGAGCUAUACCGAGUGGCGAGAGCUGAAAGAUUUAUCGCCUGAAGAUGAGCUCGCGUCCGAUUAGCUAGUUGGAGUGGUAAUGGCACCCCAAGGCGAUGAUCGGUAGCUGGUCUGAGAGGAUGAUCAGCCACACUGGGACUGAGACACGGCCCAGACUCCUACGGGAGGCAGCAGUGGGGAAUUUUCCGCAAUGGGCGCAAGCCUGACGGAGCAAUACCGCGUGCGGGAGGACGGCCUUUGGGUUGUAAACCGCUUUUCUCAGGGAAGAAGAUCUGACGGUACCUGAGGAAUCAGCAUCGGCUAACUCCGUGCCAGCAGCCGCGGUAAUACGGAGGAUGCAAGCGUUAUCCGGAAUUAUUGGGCGUAAAGCGUCCGCAGGUGGUUGGACAAGUCUGCUGUCAAAGCGUGGGAGCUUAACUCCAUAAAGGCGGUGGAAACUGUUUGACUAGGGGUAUGGGUAGGGGUCACGGGGAAUUUCCCAGUGUAGCGGUGAAAUGCGUAAAUAUUGGGGAAGAACAACCAGCGGCGAAAGCGCGUGACUGGGCCAUUACUGACACUCAUGGGACGAAAAGCUAGGGGAGCGAAAGGGAUAGAUACCCCUGGANUCAAAGUGANGGGANNNACCGGGGCCCAAUUGCCGCCAGACUCGAGAUUGAGGAANANGACGUCGNNNA